rnacentral:rRNA from 2 species
GCGGGUGCUAUACAUGCAAGUCGAACGAACUCUGGUAUUGAUUGGUGCUUGCAUCAUGAUUUACAUUUGAGUGAGUGGCGAACUGGUGAGUAACACGUGGGAAACCUGCCCAGAAGCGGGGGAUAACACCUGGAAACAGAUGCUAAUACCGCAUAACAACUUGGACCGCAUGGUCCGAGUUUGAAAGAUGGCUUCGGCUAUCACUUUUGGAUGGUCCCGCGGCGUAUUAGCUAGAUGGUGGGGUAACGGCUCACCAUGGCAAUGAUACGUAGCCGACCUGAGAGGGUAAUCGGCCACAUUGGGACUGAGACACGGCCCAAACUCCUACGGGAGGCAGCAGUAGGGAAUCUUCCACAAUGGACGAAAGUCUGAUGGAGCAACGCCGCGUGAGUGAAGAAGGGUUUCGGCUCGUAAAACUCUGUUGUUAAAGAAGAACAUAUCUGAGAGUAACUGUUCAGGUAUUGACGGUAUUUAACCAGAAAGCCACGGCUAACUACGUGCCAGCAGCCGCGGUAAUACGUAGGUGGCAAGCGUUGUCCGGAUUUAUUGGGCGUAAAGCGAGCGCAGGCGGUUUUUUAAGUCUGAUGUGAAAGCCUUCGGCUCAACCGAAGAAGUGCAUCGGAACUGGGAAACUUGAGUGCAGAAGAGGACAGUGGAACUCCAUGUGUAGCGGUGAAAUGCGUAGAUAUAUGGAAAGAACACCAGUGGCGAAGGCGGCUGUCUGGUCUGUAACUGACGCUGAGGCUCGAAAGUAUGGGUAGCAAACAGGAUUAGAUACCCUGGUAGUCCAUACCGUAAACGAUGAAUGCUAAGUGUUGGAGGGUUUCCGCCCUUCAGUGCUGCAGCUAACGCAUUAAGCAUUCCGCCUGGGGAGUACGGCCGCAGGCUGAACUCAAAGGAAUGACGGGGCCCGCA